GCUUACUGUAGAAACAGUUUACAGUAAGUUGCUGUCAAUUUUAUAACUUUUGCAGUAUUAUUGCUGUAUUUCCAGCUUUGUCUUACUGUAGAAACUAUUUACAGGACAGUUGCUGUCAAUUUAUGCUAUUCUUUGAAAAAAACAAUAGAGUGGGAAAAUAAUUACAGUAAUCCUUAUAUUACUGUUAAAUUGAUGACAGUAAUAAUCCAACUUACAAGGAAUUUUAUUUAUUAAUUAUAUAUUUAUUUAUAAGGAAUUUUAUAAUACAUCGUUUCAUAUGGUAACCCAUAUAUUAAGGCAUUUGGCAUAUAGUUAAAAAAAGUUGAAUGAUUUAUGUGGGUGUUUUUUAAUUGCGUAUCUUUAUGGUUGCCAGAUUUUGACACAAAACCCACCUAAUCUCAUAGGUUAUAGCCAACAAUUUUGUGGGUGGGAGGUAGUUGUAGAGAUGUAGAUGUCAAAAAUAUAGGCUAGGUAAAUAGAUAAAAUCAAUUCCCAUGAUAUAUUUUUAAUAUUAUUAUUUUGCUUUCUAUUAAACACACUAAUUACAUAAAGAGCGGAAUCGUACGCGAUAUACCUGGCAACCAAUCAUCUAAACCGUCAGCCUGCACUCAUUUUCCAAUUCAUUUUCUGAGCCUUUGAGGAUGAACAAGACCAACGAGAACCAGUCAGGUUCUCCCUCGAAAUCGGGUCUCUGUUAGGACACCAAGAGAUCUCAAAUUAAUUGUAAUAGGUAAAAAUCAUUGGUGAAGUCACCAGAUGUGGAUGGCGUGUAUGUUGUUCGACAUUGCAGCGUGCUAAUGAGUUAAUAAAGAGGCAGCAAAAACCUGGGAUCUGCAUUGGCCCUGUCAAGUCUGGAGAGUGUUUUUACCAUUUAAUGAAUUAAAUUGUAAUAAAAGUUUUUAAAUGGA